rnacentral:rRNA from 1 species
UACGGGGGGGGCAAGCGUUGUUCGGAAUUACUGGGCGUAAAGGGCUCGUAGGUGGCCAACUAAGUCGGAUGUGAAAUCCCCAGGCUUAACCUGGGAACUGCAUCCGAUACUGGAUGGCUUGAAUCCGGGAGAGGGAUGCGGAAUUCCAGGUGUAGCGGUGAAAUGCGUAGAUAUCGAGAGGAACACCGGCGGCGAAGGCGGCCCACUGGACAGAUACUGACGCUGAGACUCGAAAGCGUGGGGAGCAAACAGG